CCUACUACUUUCGAGGUUAGAGAUCAUUUUGAUGAUGCCAGCUGUCAGACAGUUGUUGUUAUUGUCAUUAUCAGGCUAAUAUCGCAGCGACUCCUCGACUAUCAGUUCUACUACUUCCGAACAUAUUUUUUGAGGUAACCUCAGCGGAUGAGGGACUCGAUCUCAUCCUUCAGCUGGAGAUACUCCUUGGUGUCAUGGCUAUGGUCACGAUGAAAGUGACAGU
rnacentral:lncRNA from 1 species